CAAAGGAGCAAUCCGCUGAAAGAUGGGCUCGCGUCCGAUUAGGUAGUUGGCGGGGCAACGGCCCACCAAGCCGACGAUCGGCAGCCGGACUGAGAGGUUGAACGGCCACAUUGGGACUGAGACACGGCCCAGACUCCUACGGGAGGCAGCAGUGAGGGAUAUUGGUCAAUGGGGGAAACCCUGAACCAGCAACGCCGCGUGAGGGAAGACGGUUUUCGGAUUGUAAACCUCUGUCCUCUGUGAAGAUGAUGACGGUAGCAGAGGAGGAAGCUCCGGCUAACUACGUGCCAGCAGCCGCGGUAAUACGUAGGGAGCAAGCGUUGUCCGGAUUUACUGGGUGUAAAGGGUGCGUAGGCGGCUUUGCAAGUCAGAAGUGAAAUCCAUGGGCUUAACCCAUGAACUGCUUUUGAAACUGCAGAGCUUGAGUGGAGUAGAGGUAGGCGGAAUUCCCGGUGUAGCGGUGAAAUGCGUAGAGAUCGGGAGGAACACCAGUGGCGAAGGCGGCCUGCUGGGCUCUAACUGACGCUGAGGCACGAAAGCGUGGGUAGCAAACAGGAUUAGAUACCCUGGUAGUCCACGCUGUAAACGAUGAUUACUAGGUGUGGGUGGACUGACCCCAUCC
rnacentral:rRNA from 1 species